GCCUCCGUAGCUCAGGGGAUAGAGCACCGCUCUCCUAAAGCGGGUGUCGCAGGUUCGAAUCCUGCCGGGGGCACC
rnacentral:tRNA from 5 species